AACACAUGCAAGUCGAGGGGUAUAGUUCUUCGGAGCUAGAGACCGGCGCACGGGUGCGUAACGCGUAUGCAAUCUGCCUUUCACAGAGGGAUAGCCCAGAGAAAUUUGGAUUAAUACCCCAUAGUAUUAUGGAGUGGCAUCACUUUAUAAUUAAAGUCACAACGGUGAAAGAUGAGCAUGCGUCCCAUUAGCUAGUUGGUAAGGUAACGGCUUACCAAGGCAACGAUGGGUAGGGGUCCUGAGAGGGAGAUCCCCCACACUGGUACUGAGACACGGACCAGACUCCUACGGGAGGCAGCAGUGAGGAAUAUUGGACAAUGGGCGCAAGCCUGAUCCAGCCAUGCCGCGUGCAGGAUGACGGUCCUAUGGAUUUGUAAACUGCUUUUGUACGAGAAGAAACACUCCUAUGUAUAGGAGCUUGACGGUAUCGUAAGAAUAANGAUCGGCUAACUCCGUGCCAGCAGCCGCGGUAAUACGGAGGAUCCAAGCGUUAUCCGGAAUCAUUGGGUUUAAA
rnacentral:rRNA from 1 species